GACGGACUGACGGUGUGUGUGCUCGCUCUCUCCGCGCCUCUGCUGCUGCUGUGCUCCCUCUAUCUCUGUGUGCGCGUGCGCCCCCCCCCCCCUCCCCAAUUUAUCUCCUGUCCUGUCCACAUUGGGUGUGGAGGUGGAGGUAUGUAGCACCGGGGAAAAAAAAUAGUGGCGUUUUAUGGCACUGUUGGUUUUCCAUACCGGAUUCCCCGUACCGAGCAGCAUGUAGCACCUGGUGCCGCGUUUCCCCCGAAGAAAGCAUCGCCUGAACGAGGAUUAUUCUGGGGGUGGGUUGGGGGAUUUAUUCCUUAUUUUAGAGGAGUGUUAGUGUGUGUUUCCCCCGCCGCUCUGCACCUCCCGGUCGAUGGUCGUUGAGGAAGCUUCCAUCUUGAGAUCUACCGAGAGCACCAUGGCGAGCGACUCCCCUGCGCGCAGUCUGGACGAGAUAGACCUGUCUGCACUCCGGGUAAAUCCAUCUGUAUCUUUGACUGGUGC